UACGUAGGGUGCAAGCGUUGUCCGGAAUUAUUGGGCGUAAAGAGCUCGUAGGCGGUCUGUCGCGUCUGCUGUGAAAACUCAGGGCUUAACCCUGAGCUUGCAGUGGGUACGGGCAGACUAGAGUGCGGUAGGGGAGACUGGAAUUCCUGGUGAUAGCGGUGAAAUGACGCAGAUAUCAGGAGGAACACCGGUGGCCGAAGGCGGGUCUCUGGGCCGUAACUGACGCUGGAGGAGCGGAAAGCAUGGGGAGCGAACAGG
rnacentral:rRNA from 1 species